rnacentral:rRNA from 1 species
GACUUGGUGUGGUUGUUGCUGGCCCUCUCGGGGGCAUGUGCACACCCACCAUCCUCAUCUCUCCACCUGUGCACCUCUUGUAGACCUGGAUUGACUUUCCGAGGCAACUCGGUCGGGAAGAUUGCUGCGCUCUGUGAGCCAGCUUUCUUUGCAUGUCCAGGCCUAUGUUUUUCAUAUACCCCUAUAGAAUGUAACAGAAUGUAUCAUUGGGCCUUGUGCCUAUAAACCUUAUACAACUUUCAGCAACGGAUCUCUUGGCUCUCGCAUCGAUGAAGAACGCAGCGAAAUGCGAUAAGUAAUGUGAAUUGCAGAAUUCAGUGAAUCAUCGAAUCUUUGAACGCACCUUGCGCUCCUUGGUAUUCCGAGGAGCAUGCCUGUUUGAGUGUUAUUAAAUUCUCAACCUUAUUAACUUUUGUUGAUAAUGGAUUGGAUUGUGGGGGUUUCUUUUGCUGGCUUCUUCACAGAGAUCAGCUCCCCUUAAAUGCAUUAGCUGGUGCCCCGCGUGGACCAUCUAUUGGUGUGAUAAUUAUCUACGCCGUGGAUGUCUGCAAUCAUAUGGGUUUCGCACUGCUUCUAACCGUCUGUUCAUUCGGACAAUACAUGACAAUUUGACCUCAAAUCAGGUAGGACUACCCGCUGAACUUAAGCAUAUCAAU